UCGAGAAAGAGUUACAAAAAGAGAGAGAGCGAGAGAGAGAGAGAGAGAGAGAGAGAGAAGAGAUAAGCCCUGAAGAUACUUACACGCAUAAACGAUAUUCAAUCUAUUUACGAUUGAGCAUGACUGCGACAAAAGUUAAUAUUUAUUAAACAAAACAAUUAAGUUUAAUGAAUCAGCUGAUUCAAAAAGAAGGAUCACGGAUAUAAAACUAUGAACGACACGUCACGAGUGAAAUAGUAUAACCACGAUAUUUUUCAAAUAAUCAUUUCCUCAAAAAAUCAGAUACACGGAAGAAACAAGAGAGAUAGAUAGACAGAUAGAUAAAUGAAUCUCAAUGGAACUGUUGUACUUUCGACGAAGGAUCGUUUAAUCUCAAUUGACUGGACGAUCAAUCUCCCUUUCUCUUGAGUCAAGCAGUAGUGCGAUUCGUGAACAAAUUUGGGCCGUUGGACUGACUGGACCGG
rnacentral:lncRNA from 1 species